GAUGAAGAACGCAGCGAAAUGCGAUACGUAAUGUGAAUUGCAGAAUUCAGUGAAUCAUCGAAUCUUUGAACGCAUAUUGCGCUCUCUGGUAUUCCGGAGAGCAUGCUUGUUUGAGUAUCAGUAAACACCUCAACUUCCAUAUCUUUUUUUGAAAUGGGAGUUGGACUUGAGUGAUCCCAACGCUUUUCCUCACCGAAAAGUGGCGGGUUACGUGAAAUGCAGGUGCAGCUGGACUUUUCUCUGAGCUAUAAGCAUAUCUAUUUAGUCUGCCUAAAAAACAGAUUAUUACCUUUGCUGCAGCUAACAUAAAGGAGAUUAGUUCUUGUGCUGACUGAUGCAGGAUUCACAAAGACAGCUUCGGCCGACUUUGUAAACUCGAUCUCAAAUCAAGUAAGACUACCCGCUGAACUUAAGCAUAUCAAUAAGCGGAGGA
rnacentral:misc_RNA from 1 species